AGCUAGGUGGCCCAGUAGAUAGAGCACUGGACUUAGAAUCAGGAUGACCUAAGUUCCAAUCUAAGCCUAGUCA
rnacentral:tRNA from 1 species